AAGAAUCGAGGUAAUUAGAGUAAUCAGACACGAAAAGUAACAUGCAUGCAAUUGCACAGAUAAAGAACCCUAAAAUCCCAGAAGGCAAAAAACAAAAAAAAAGUUCGAAACUUUAUCGCCUAAUCUUCAGGGGAUUAAUUAAAUUCUCCAACUUUGACAUGCAAAUCGAUUUCAGAAGAAGAGUACAUACAUAGAGAACACUUGACGAAGAAACCGAGAUGGUCAGAGAAAUUCGAAUCUCUCUCUCUCUCUCUCUCU
rnacentral:lncRNA from 1 species